GACGAACGCUGGCGGCGUGCCUAAUACAUGCAAGUUGAGCGAUGAAGAUUGGUGCUUGCACCAAUUUGAAGAGCAGCGAACGGGUGAGUAACGCGUGGGUAAUCUGCCUUUGAGCGGGGGACAACAUUUGGAAACGAAUGCUAAUACCGCAUAACAACUUUAAACAUAAGUUUUAAGUUUGAAAGAUGCAAUUGCAUCACUCAAAGAUGAUCCCGCGUUGUAUUAGCUAGUUGGUGAGGUAAAGGCUCACCAAGGCGAUGAUACAUAGCCGACCUGAGAGGGAGAUCGGCGAAAUUGGGAAUGGGACAAGGCCCAAAAUCCUACGGGAGGCAGCAGUAGGGAAUCUUCGGAAAUGGACGAAAGUCUGACCGAGCAACGCCGCGUGAGUGAAGAAGGUUUUCGGAUCGUAAAACUCUGUUGGUAGAGAAGAAAGUUGGUGAGAGUGGAAAGCUCAUCAAGUGACGGUAACUACACAGAAAGGGACGGCUAACUACGUG
rnacentral:rRNA from 1 species